rnacentral:lncRNA from 1 species
GGGGGGGGGGGGGGGGGGGGGGGGGGGGGGGGGGGGGGGGGGGGGGGGGGGGGGGGGGGGGGGGGGGGGGGGGGGGGGGGGGGGGCUGAGGGCACGGGGAGCGGCCGGGCCGCCCUCAGAGGGGUCCCCGCGGCCGGGGCGGGCUCCGGAGGGGAAAGGGAAAGGAAAAAGGAAAGGAAAGGAAAAAGGAAAAGCGGGAGAAUCCCCGCGGGAGGGCCCCUGAGGGGCAGCGGGGCCCGGCUGUGCUGAGGUGGAGCAAGGCCAAGGACAGGAAUCCUUCAGUUGCCACGAUUUUUUUUUCCCUUGGAAUGCCAGGACAAGGGGGAUGGAUUCAGGCUGGAAAAGAGCAGGGUGCUGCUGGAUGAGGAUCCAAGCCCAAAUGCUGCUCUUUUCCAAGGAUUUUUGGGAUUUCUAAACUCUUCCCAUCAGCUGGAGCAGAACUCAGGUAAAAAGUGCUUUUAUUCCUUCAGAAAUCCCCAUUUAUCCCUUCCUGCUUUUCCUGGACUUGGCCCGGAAAACAGAGAGCUGGAAAAUCCCAAAGAGCUGUUGGAAAGCAUCAAGGGAAUGCUGAAAAUCCUUGAAAAAAAUCCUUGGAAAACUUGGUUUUAUUUAUAUGUUUUUGUAGGGCAGGAUGAAGAUAAAGUCUCAGCUGUGAACAUGGAAAAAUUCCAGGAAUGUGGAUGAAAACAGCAAGAAUUCCAUUGGGAAUGGGGCGGGAAAGGCUGGGUCUAACUCCAGGUAAAAAUUCCAAUUUUAGGAAAAUAUUUGGAUUUUUGGGGUGGAAUUUUAGGAUUGGCUGAGAAAUCCUUGAUGGGAAUGAAUAUUCCAAAUUUUUUUGAAAUGUUUGGGUUUUGGGAAUGAGGCAAAAUUUGAUCUGAGCUCU